rnacentral:rRNA from 1 species
GAUGAACGCUGGCGGCGUGCCUAAUACAUGCAAGUCGAGCGAACGGACGAGAAGCUUGCUUCUCUGAUGUUAGCGGCGGACGGGUGAGUAACACGUGGAUAACCUACCUAUAAGACUGGGAUAACUUCGGGAAACCGGAGCUAAUACCGGAUAAUAUUUUGAACCGCAUGGUUCAAAAGUGAAAGACGGUCUUGCUGUCACUUAUAGAUGGAUCCGCGCUGCAUUAGCUAGUUGGUAAGGUAACGGCUUACCAAGGCAACGAUGCAUAGCCGAUCUGAGAGGGUGAUCGGCCACACUGGAACUGAGACACGGUCCAGACUCCUACGGGAGGCAGCAGUAGGGAAUCUUCCGCAAUGGGCGAAAGCCUGACGGAGCAACGCCGCGUGAGUGAUGAAGGUCUUCGGAUCGUAAAACUCUGUUAUUAGGGAAGAUCAUAUGUGUAAGUAACUGUGCACAUCUUGACGGUACCUAAUCAGAAAGCCACGGCUAACUACGUG